rnacentral:rRNA from 1 species
AUUGAACGCUGGCGGAAUGCUUUACACAUGCAAGUCGAACGGCAGCACGGGGCAACCUGGUGGCGAGUGGCGAACGGGUGAGUAAUAUAUCGGAACGUGCCCAAUCGUGGGGGAUAACGUAGCGAAAGUUACGCUAAUACCGCAUACGAUCUACGGAUGAAAGCGGGGGAUCGCAAGACCUCGCGCGAAUGGAGCGGCCGAUAUCAGAUUAGGUAGUUGGUGGGGUAAAGGCUCACCAAGCCAACGAUCUGUAGCUGGUCUGAGAGGACGACCAGCCACACUGGAACUGAGACACGGUCCAGACUCCUACGGGAGGCAGCAGUGGGGAAUUUUGGACAAUGGGCGCAAGCCUGAUCCAGCCAUUCCGCGUGCAGGAUGAAGGCCUUCGGGUUGUAAACUGCUUUUGUACGGAACGAAAAAGCCUUCUCUAAUAAAGGGGGUGAAUGACGGUACCGUAAGAAUAAGCACCGGCUAACUACGUG